ensembl:lincRNA 4930478P22Rik RIKEN cDNA 4930478P22 gene
GACCUUCAGUCGUGCCUGCCAGGGAUCGGUUAGCAUCCUAGCAUGCUUGUGGGAUUAUCUUGAUGGGAUUGAGGUGCGAAAACCCACCCUAAUAUGAGUGACUCCAUUCUCUGAGCUUGAGUCUUUGGUGGCAUAAUAACAAGGAAGAGAGCUAAGGAGCAGAACACAUCCCUCUGUCCCCUGACUGAAAGUGAAGUGACCAGCUGCCACCAAGACUUGCACAACAUAAUGGGCCGUGCCCCGAUACUGUGAGACAAAACCAACACUCCCCUAAAUUGCUUUUGUCUGAUAUUUCAUUGCAAAACAGGAAAAGAAACUAAGACGGGGCCUGUGGUUUUAUUUACUAAAUCUGUCUGUUCUGGGAGGUGCAGAUCACGGGUGCCAGCCCUUCUUCACCCACCUCAUCCCCAUCUUAAAGCACAGAGAAAGCUGGUCGAUGAGUCUGCUGACCAGCAGGGGGCGCCUGCCCAAUUCUGAUGGUUUCCUGCCUAUAGCUCAUGGAUGCAAUUUGGAGGUGGCCACUGGGUGGCACCAUUAUGUCACAUAUGCCUACUGAGAAUCCUGUUGACUGCUGGACAGGGGACAAGUCUGGAAUCCAAAGCCCUCAUCUGGACUGACUCUGCUAUGGGGACUCUGCAUGUGAGUGUUAGGCAGAUAUCCUGAAGGAGCAGGCCUGGACCUGAGCCUCCUAGGCAGGUCUGAACCCAGGAUGCCAGAGCUCUCCUGGAGCAGACUGUCCCGUUGUCUACCACGUCAGGUUGGGGACCCAGGAUUCUAAGAUGAGAAGAGACAGACUUUACCCAUCUUGAUCCCUGAGUAUAUCUUCCUGUCUACAGCCUGGGGGUCUUUGUCCCUGGCUCAAUUUCACUCACUGGCUUCUGUGGCUGAGGGUCCUUGGGCUCUUACCUCUGUGGAACCUAAAAGCCCCUGAGAGGGACGUUGAAUGAAUUCAGGGUAGACAAGCCCAACCCUGGGCCAGAGCCUAAACAAGACAAACAGCCCACAGCAUUCAUUUUGGGGAGGUUGGGCUGGAACCCACUUGGCACAGAGGACCAGGAACUUGGAGGUCUCAUAGGGAGGCUUACAAGUUGGCUAACAGCCAUGCUGCUGCUGAUCCAUCCUGCCAGGUCCCAGCCUGGCAGAAGUCAUUUUGCAGCAAGGAGAGACUAAGACAGCAGUGGGAUCUCAAGGAUCUGAGCUGAGUCUGAUGUCCUCGCUGUACAGAGUGUUGUGGGAACGAAAGGCUAAUCAAAAGCCAUGGUGCCUGAAACCCUUAAAGGACCAAAGUCCGGAGACUCAGGCUGGCGUUCACCUCCUGCAGUCAGUGUGCAUCCUGGGUAAGGCAGACGUGUCCAUCCACCUGUUGAAGGAGCAUCUUCAGGAGAUACUGAGCUCAUCACCCUCAGAGACCUCCAAGCAAGGUCCCAUCCGAUGUCCACGGGGAACACUGUGAGAAGCACUGAUGGGCUGUGGUUGCUGGGUGCAGGGACACAGAAGGGGUCACUGAAACUUGCCCUAAGCUCUGAAGGGUGCUUACCCCUAGUGGCUACCUGAUGCUCAGAGAUGCCCCAAGGCAGUCUUCAGACACCCGAUGCCUGGGCCUCACUUGCAGGCACACGGGGUCCCUUGGAGGGGAAACCAGGGCAGUGUGAGUGAAAUCCGAGAACAAAGGUGCGUAUUUGCUUACAAGCGGAGAGAAUCACAGAAUUGACACAUUCCUCACAAUUGACAAAUAGCACGGAUAUUGGAAGGAGAAAACCCGGAAAAAAUAACAUGUGAUUUUUAUUAGCAGUCUGGCAGGUAAUAAAAAUGGGGCUUGCACUGUCUUUGCUGCCUUUCUGUCUGUCUGAUCCCGAGCCGCCUUUUCCCCACGACGAGCCUGCGAUAUCAUUUUCUAUACAAAGACAAGCAAGAUUAUCUCCUUCCCUCGGGAGCCUGGUGUAAAUUUGGUUUUGAUUAUUGUUGGGGUUUUUUUUUUUGGGAGGGGUUAAGGAAAAGAAAAACAAUUUGUUUUGUUUUGUUUUGUUUUUGCGUUUAGCUUCAGAACUCAUGGCAAUGUC